UUCUAUUUUUCAGAGAUCCUUC
rnacentral:siRNA from 1 species